UACGAAGGGGGCUAGCGUUGUUCGGAAUUACUGGGCGUAAAGCGCACGUAGGCGGCUUUCCAAGUUGGAGGUGAAAUCCCUGGGCUUAACCUAGGAACUGCCUCCAAGACUGGGAAGCUCGAGUCCGAGAGAGGUGAGUGGAAUUUCCAGUGUAGAGGUGAAAUUCGUAGAUAUUGGAAAGAACACCAGUGGCGAAGGCGGCUCACUGGCUCGGUACUGACGCUGAGGUGCGACAGCGUGGGGAGCAAACAGGAUUAGAUACCCUGGUAGUCCACGCCGUAAACGAUGGGUGCUAGUUGUCAGGCAGCUUGCUGCUUGGUGACGCAGCUAACGCAUUAAGCACCCCGCCUGGGGAGUACGGUCGCAAGAUUAAA
rnacentral:rRNA from 1 species